AGUCGAUUUCUGCUCACCUCCUCGCUGCGGCUGUAGCACACACGCGACCACCGCCAACUCCGCCUAGAUCCCGACGGGAGGCGGCGAUAGAGGUCCAUGGCAGCCCCCAAGGGUUCACUCAGCUGCUCCUAAGCAUGGGAGUUCCAGGCCUAGAUUGGCCGGGGCUAGAUCGGGAGGACGCAAUCCAGACGGAAGACGUGUAGCAGCCCCAAGCUGGAGCGUCGAGUUUGGGAGAUCUGGAAGCAGCGGCGAAUUUCACGGAGAUCUCGGCGCGAAAUUCGGCCAGUAAACUCGGCGUCGAGUUUGUUUCAGAGGUUGUUUUUCAGUUAGUGUAAGAGGUUGUAAUUUAGAUAAGGAUCAGAACAGAAUAGGCACUUAUGCAGUAGUAUUCAUGCUUGCCCUGUGGUCCUCUAGCCGCUGAUCAGCAAGGAGUGACGAGCGGUCUCGCGUGGCAGCAGGUCGAGUGCUUGGAGAAGUUCGUCGCCGGCAACGCCAUGGACACCAGUCGUGCAUUCGAUUUAUGAGAUUUCCUUCUCUAUUACAUUUCAAAUCUUGGUGUUUUAUCUUCUCAGCUGUAGUAAUUUCAUGAGGCUUACUGCAUGUUUUGUGAAUUUUAUAUCCAGGCUUGCUGAAUCAGCUUAUUAUGAGCUUCGGUUCUCUGUUUAGGAGGAUGAUAUAUGUAAUUUCAUGUGUUCCGCAAAGAGGCAGUAUACACAAAACAGCAAGAUACCUUUAGAAGCGAUGCAAUCAGGUGCCAGUGGAAUCCUGUUGGUCUACUACGAGCUCCUUUUGCGGCUUACUUUUUAGGCAAACUUUGUUUUCUAAGAUGAGAUGAAAAGUUCAGUUGCCAACUGACAUGUACAGUUUGCUUUUGUUAUAUUUGCUAUGGGCUUGUAACCCCAGUCUCGUUCUGCCCCUUUUGUUUCAACUAUGCAGAAAAUUAUCUCUGCCUUUUGUACAAUCAUAAAAAUUCGAUCUGUGCACAUAUUAAAACUA